AUCGAGCCGCUUGUAUAUAGGUUCAUGUGCCGCAUCUUGCUCGCACCUGCUUUAUAUUGUCAAAAUGAGAUACGUUGGUGGAUUGACGCAGAGCGCGGGCUGCAUGCAGCUCUCCGCGUCCGAUUGCUCGGUUUCCCGUUGAAGCUGCUCGUUAUGGAGCGAAACAUGUCGAGCAAUUUUCGACUUAAAAAUACGUAUCGCUGGGGCGAUGCGGUUGAAGCGGACUUGCGCGAUCUCCAUGCCGAUAACUGGCGGGAGAUGGCACAGGAUCGAGACAACUGGCGUGUACUCGCCUGCGCCAUUAAUUUCAGUUUCAAGUUUGAUACAAGAUUGUCGUCUGCCUUAAGCCAGCCGGUAAAGCCCCAGGCCCCAGUUUAUACUCCACAUACGUAAACAAUAACGAAGCUUAAUAUUUAACCCACAAGCGUCGAGAGCUGCACUUGCUUCCACAAAUUGCUUCAAAGAGCUUACACGUUGGGCGUAACCAACCACACAUUUACAUGAAAAUAACCGGAACUUACCGGAAAAUACUGGUAACAUUGGCUUUUUCGGAAACAGCGAGUAUUCAGAAGAUGGUAUAAAAAUAAAAAGCGACAUAAGACGUGGAAUGUCGUUGGUAUGCGGCAGGAAUGUUUUGGACUGAAAUAAAUGUCUCGGAACACCGCAAUUUAAA